rnacentral:rRNA from 1 species
AUGCAAGUCGAACGAACCUUCGGGUUAGUGGCGGACGGGUGAGUAACGCGUGAGAAUCUGCCCUCAGGAGGGGGACAACAGCUGGAAACGGCUGCUAAUACCCCACAUGCCGAGAGGUGAAAUGAAUUUCGCCUGAGGAUGAGCUCGCGUCUGAUUAGCUAGUUGGUGGGGUAAGAGCUCACCAAGGCAUCGAUCAGUAGCUGGUCUGAGAGGAUGAUCAGCCACACUGGGACUGAGACACGGCCCAGACUCCUACGGGAGGCAGCAGUGGGGAAUUUUCCGCAAUGGGCGAAAGCCUGACGGAGCAACGCCGCGUGAGGGAUGAAGGCCUCUGGGCUGUAAACCUCUUUUCUCAAGGAAGAAGAUCUGACGGUACUUGAGGAAUAAGCCACGGCUAAUUCCGUGCCAGCAGCCGCGGUAAUACGGGAGUGGCAAGCGUUAUCCGGAAUUAUUGGGCGUAAAGCGUCCGCAGGCGGCCCAGAAAGUCUGCUGUUAAAAAGUGGAGCUUAACUCCAUCAUGGCAGUGGAAACUUCUGGGCUACAGUGUGGUACGGGCAGAGGGA